rnacentral:rRNA from 1 species
GUGUGUGAAGAAGGCCUUCGGGUUGUAAAGCACUUUCAGUCGUGAGGAAGGUGGUGUAGUUAAUAGCUGCUUUAUUUGACGUUAGCGACAGAAGAAGCACCGGCUAACUCCGUGCCAGCAGCCGCGGUAAUACGGAGGGUGCGAGCGUUAAUCGGAAUUACUGGGCGUAAAGCGCAUGCAGGUGGUUUGUUAAGUCAGAUGUGAAAGCCCGGGGCUCAACCUCGGAAUAGCAUUUGAAACUGGCAGACUAGAGUACUGUAGAGGGGGGUAGAAUUUCAGGUGUAGCGGUGAAAUGCGUAGAGAUCUGAAGGAAUACCGGUGGCGAAGGCGGCCCCCUGGACAGAUACUGACACUCAGAUGCGAAAGCGUGGGGAGCAAACAGGAUUAGAUACCCUGGUAGUCCACGCCGUAAACGAUGUCUACUUGGAGGUUGUGGCCUUGAGCCGUGGCUUUCGGAGCUAACGCGUUAAGUAGACCGCCUGGGGAGUACGGUCGCAAGAUUAAAACUCAAAUGAAUUGACGGGGGCCCGCACAAGCGGUGGAGCAUGUGGUUUAAUUCGAUGCAACGCGAAGAACCUUACCUACUCUUGACAUCCAGAGAACUUUCCAGAGAUGGAUUGGUGCCUUCGGGAACUCUGAGACAGGUGCUGCAUGGCUGUCGUCAGCUCGUGUUGUGAAAUGUUGGGUUAAGUCCCGCAACGAGCGCAACCCUUAUCCUUGUUUGCCAGCGAGUAAUGUCGGGAACUCCAGGGAGACUGCCCGGUGAUAAACCGGGAGGAAGGUGGGGACGACGUCAAGUCAUCAUGGCCCUUACGAGUAGGCCUACACACGUGCUACAAUGGGCGCAUACA